AUCAAAUAAUGGCACUUUUCUCAGAGAUGGUUGGACCGAUUUAAACAAUGUUAUACUCAAAUGAAAGGUGCAACAUAGCCAUAGGCUGCUAUUGAAUUUUAUUUGGAUCUGGUUCUGGAGUUAUGAGUUGGAAAGUGCGAUCGCACAUGAAAUUAUCUAAACCUUUGUGCUUUUUGCAUAUAAAGAAAUACUAUGCAAUCACUCCACAAAUCAACUUUUCAACUGAGACUCGGGGGCCGAAUGUCAUGAUCCAUUCGAUUCAGUUCGUCGAGAUCGGUCAAUGUCUGUGUGUGCAUGUGUGCACAUCUAGGGGGAAGUGGCCCAAUUCGGACCGCUGGCCAAUUCGGACCACCAGCUGUUUCUCAGCUAUGGUAAUAUUAUGAAAAGCGUAUAUAUCAUUGUCAUGGCUGUCAUGUAGCUCUGUUUUAUAUCACAAAAUUUUGCGGUUCUCAGUUUUCGUAUGCGUGCGCUGGGGGCGAAUGUUGUUUUGGAGCGCUUUUUUGAAAAAUGUGUAAGCCAAAAAACACAAUUUUCGUUGGCAACAACAAUAUAUCAAGUCAAAUGCAUUAUCGUGAUUUUGGAUCUACUGGAUAAUAUCUUUUAUUUAAUAUCUUGUUUUGGGCGAGACUAUCAACUGUUUUCGUUUAAUUGGUGUGUGAAUAAUAGAAUAUGGGAUAAGCUUGUCAAAUUCCAGCAAAAAUCCGCAUUGCCGUCAACGGGGGUACGAAUCGAUGGGUUGACUUUCUUAAGGAAAAUAUUGGCACAGAAGAACAGUUCGGUGACGGGGAAUUUCGAUUCCUGCACCGAUUAAUCUAUGACUUAAGGAAAGCGGUUGAAUUGCAAGAUAAUCAAAACACCCAAAUGCUACAGAUUUUACAAAAUCUCUCAAAGCGAUUUAGAGCACCAGUUACGAUAGCGAAAUAAGUCGAAUUCUGGUGUUGUGUGAAAGUUCUGGCCGGUUGUACCAAAUCAUGGCCAACAUUAAUACUUUGUUCCUGGCCCGUGACAUUCUACCGAAUGCAUUUGUAUUCUUGCGAUCCAGUAACUCUCAGUUGGCUGCUACCGGCGGGAACCCACUUAAUUCAAAUUUCCCCUCGGUUGGUACACGAACGUAUCUGGUGUUCGCUUGUUCCUAUUGGACAACGGGCCGUAUGUAGCACUAGUGGAUUGCACUGGAACCUCGACAACCGGGCUGUUUGGUAAGCACUUCGAACACUUACUCUAGCCAGGAAGUUCAAAUUCAAUCAGAGAGUGCCGUACUUUGGUUAAUGGGAACGACCCCGAAGGAUAUGUGAUAAGAGUAUUGCCUGCAACUGAAAAUACGCGUUCAUGUCAACGGGCUUUUAGGUGCCUAAUAAAAUUCCCUCAUCUCUCUGUAUGUUGCUUUAUUAGAUAUAAUACAAAUAUAUUGAUAUAGAAAAACAAUAUUUUAUUUUCUUAAUGUAAAAGUGUCAAUUUCUAGCUUUUUAGUAAUACUGUUCAGAGAAAUCGACCUCCGACAAUUAAUCGGCGAUCGUCUUCACAUCUAGACAUGUAAAAUGAUUUAAUUUUCGCGGGAAACCGGCACAGCAUUAUUGGUUCGUUUAUUUGCUCCGUCAUUUUUCGUUCCGGACCCUCCGGAAUAUCAUCGCCAAACUCAUAAAAAGUUUCAAUACUCGAUCGACAACAUCUACUAUCAAAUCUUCCAGCCGAUCAAGUAGCUCUUUGAAAGUAAUAAAGGGACAUUCACCCUCAAUAUAACUGUAUUCUGCUAAAUCACGGCGAGCAAGACUCUGCUCUGCACGGUAACUUUGAGAAAUGCAAUAGUCGCCCAAUGCCGGCAAACAGGUUUCCAUAUAUUUUUGUGAGCUUUGCGUCAGGAAUGCUUCCGCCCUAAAAUGUAUUUAUUGUUUGAGCAAAUACUUUUAAUGCGAACAUUUUUUAUUUACCUAAAAUAGUCCAGUUUGAACAGAGUCGACCCUCCUUCAACUUGUGUUUGCACCAGCGUCGGCGGCGUUACGCCGUUCAUGAUAAUGCUCCCUAAAUGCCAUCAUAAUGACAUCUCUCAUCUUGAGAAUCUUAGAAGUAUUUUCGCCUCUAAUCAUAAUGUGUCUGUUAUCGAGCUAGACAUCAGGAUGAGCAUCCUCGUUCAAAAUAGAAUCUGCCCCACCGGCCGGAGCUAAUCCAAUUAGCUACCAAUAAUCAACGUGCAGCUCAUGUCCACCGGGAGCGGACUUACCUUCUGGAAUUUCUGACACAAGGUAUCGCUGAGAACGCUUUUCAAGAAUUUUCUUGAGCUGAGAUUUGGCUACUAGUUCGUAGGGUGAUUCCGAUUUUGCAUCCUUAGCGUUUACAUAAAUUCUUGGGAAAGGUUCCUUGCCGGCGUGCUUCAUGGCUUGUAGGAUUGUUUUGAAGGGUUUUUCCGCUGUUCCAUCACCGAACUCGUCAUCGCCACGCUUUUCCAAGGUGUAGAGAUCGUCUGGAGGUGGUGAGAAAAAUUGGAUCAAUAUUCAAUUAUUAUUAUCCAUCACCGUUGGUUGAAUUUCAGCGGCCGUUCACUUUCCGGCAAGUGUAAUGGAUAAGAGUACUUACUGGCAACGUUUGUUGAGUGCCGAACAGGGGAUUGAUUUCCGUUUCAUCCUUGUUACUACGAGUAGGUUAUGCUUCUUUUACCAUCUCAGCAUAGAUAUCAGUUUCGGCUGCCAACGUCGGCUGGUAAUCUAACGAGAAGAGAUUAUAUUAAAUUCAAAAAAAUUUAUCUUAAAGAAAGAAACCACCCAACUUACCACUAAGAAUUGAAACUUUUCAUAGUUAGCGUCAUACUGUUGAACUUCGCUGUCCAAGCAUUCCUGACAUUCUUCCGGGUGUUGCAUGUGCAUCUACGCCCCCCGGAACGAACGGUCGGGGUGAAACGGAUAGUAGAUUCUUCGUAUA